rnacentral:rRNA from 1 species
ACGAACGCUGGCGGCGUGCUUAACACAUGCAAGUCGAACGGAAAGGCCCCUUUGGGGGUACUCGAGUGGCGAACGGGUGAGUAACACGUGAGUAACCUGCCCUUGACUUCGGGAUAACUUCAGGCAACUGGGGCUAAUACCGGAUAGGAAUCCUUGCUGCAUGGUGGGGGUUGGAAAGCUUCGGCGGUUUUGGAUGGACUCGCGGCUUAUCAGCUUGUUGGUGGGGUAGUGGCUUACCAAGGCUUUGACGUGUAGCCGGCCUGAGAGGGCGACCGGCCACAUUGGGACUGAGAGACGGCCCAGACUCCUACGGGAGGCAGCAGUGGGGAAUAUUGCACAAUGGGCGGAAGCCUGAUGCAGCAACGCCGCGUGCGGGAUGACGGCCUUCGGGUUGUAAACCGCUUUCAGCAGGGGCGAAGCUUGUGGUGACGGUACCUGCAGAAGAAGCACCGGCUAACUACGUG